rnacentral:rRNA from 1 species
AUUGAACGCUGGCGGCAUGCCUUACACAUGCAAGUCGAACGGUAACAGGUCUUCGGAUGCUGACGAGUGGCGAACGGGUGAGUAAUACAUCGGAACGUGCCUAGUAGUGGGGGAUAACUACUCGAAAGAGUGGCUAAUACCGCAUGAGAUCUACGGAUGAAAGCAGGGGAUCGCAAGACCUUGUGCUACUAGAGCGGCCGAUGGCAGAUUAGGUAGUUGGUGGGAUAAAAGCUUACCAAGCCGACGAUCUGUAGCUGGUCUGAGAGGACGAUCAGCCACACUGGGACUGGGACACGGCCCAGACUCCUACGGGAGGCAGCAGUGGGGAAUUUUGGACAAUGGGCGCAAGCCUGAUCCAGCAAUGCCGCGUGCAGGAUGAAGGCCUUCGGGUUGCAAACUGCUUUUGUACGGAACGAAAAGCCCCGGGUUAAUACCCUGGGGUCAUGACGGUACCGUAAGAAUAAGCACCGGCUAACUACGUGCCAGCCGCCGCCGCAGUAA